GGCCGCGGGAAUUCGACUCAGCCUUAACACAUGCAAGUGGAUCGGGAUCCAUCAAGCUUGCUUGGUGGUGAGAGUGGCGCACGGGUGAGUAAUGCGUGACCGACCUGCCCCAUACACCGGAAUAGCUCCUGGAAACGGGUGGUAAUGCCGGAUGUUCCAGUUGAUCGCAUGGUCUUCUGGGAAAGCUUUCGCGGUGUGGGAUGGGGUCGCGUCCUAUCAGCUUGACGGCGGGGUCACGCCCCCCCGUGGCUUCGACGGGUAGCCGGCCUGAGAGGGCGACCGGCCACAUUGGGACUGAGAUAUCGGCCCAGACUCCUUCGGGAGGCAGCAGUGGGGAAUAUUGCA
rnacentral:rRNA from 1 species